rnacentral:rRNA from 1 species
UACAGAGGUCCCGAGCGUUGUUCGGAUUCAUUGGGCGUAAAGGGUGCGUAGGCGGCGUGGCAAGUCUGAUGUGAAAUCCCGGGGCUCAACCCCGGAACUGCAUUGGAUACUGCCUUGCUCGAGUACUGGAGAGGGAACUGGAAUUUACGGUGUAGCAGUGAAAUGCGUAGAGAUCGUAAGGAAGGCCAGUGGCGAAGGCGAGUUCCUGGACAGUUACUGACGCUGAGGCACGAAGGCCAGGGGAGCAAACGGG